ACGGGAGGCAGCAGUAGGGAAUCUUCCACAAUGGACGCAAGUCUGAUGGAGCAACGCCGCGUGAGUGAAGAAGGUUUUCGGAUCGUAAAGCUCUGUUGUUGGUGAAGAAGGAUAGAGGUAGUAACUGGCCUUUAUUUGACGGUAAUCAACCAGAAAGUCACGGCUAACUACGUGCCAGCAGCCGCGGUAAUACGUAGGUGGCAAGCGUUGUCCGGAUUUAUUGGGCGUAAAGCGAGCGCAGGCGGAAAAAUAAGUCUAAUGUGAAAGCCCUCGGCUUAACCGAGGAACUGCAUCGGAAACUGUUUUUCUUGAGUGCAGAAGAGGAGAGUGGAACUCCAUGUGUAGCGGUGGAAUGCGUAGAUAUAUGGAAGAACACCAGUGGCGAAGGCGGCUCUCUGGUCUGCAACUGACGCUGAGGCUCGAAAGCAUGGGUAGCGAACAGGAUUAGAUACCCUGGUAGUCCAUGCCGUAAACGAUGAGUGCUAAGUGUUGGGAGGUUUCCGCCUCUCAGUGCUGCAGCUAACGCAUUAAGCACUCCGCCUGGGGAGUACGACCGCAAGGUUGAAACUCAAAGGAAUUGACGGGGGCCCGCACAAGCGGUGGAGCAUGUGGUUUAAUUCGAAGCAACGCGAAGAACCUUACCAGGUCUUGACAUCUAGUGCAAUCUGUAGAGAUAUGGAGUUCCCUUCGGGGACGCUAAGACAGGUGGUGCAUGGCUGUCGUCAGCUCGUGUCGUGAGAUGUUGGGUUAAGUCCCGCAACGAGCGCAACCCUUGUUAUUAGUUGCCAGCAUUAAGUUGGGCACUCUAAUGAGACUGCCGGUGACAAACCGGAGGAAGGUGGGGAUGACGUCAAGUCAUCAUGCCCCUUAUGACCUGGGCUACACACGUGCUACAAUGGGCAGUACAACGAGAAGCAAGCCUGCGAAGGCAAGCGAAUCUCUGAAAGCUGUUCUCAGUUCGGACUGCAGUCUGCAACUCGACUGCACGAAGCUGGAAUCGCUAGUAAUCGCGGAUCAGCACGCCGCGGUGAAUACGUUCCCGGGCCUUGUACACACCGCCCGUCACACCAUGGGAGUCUGCAAUGCCCAAAGCCGGUGGCCUAACCUUCGGGAAGGAGCCGUCUAA
rnacentral:rRNA from 1 species